GACGUAGGAUGCGAGCGUUGUCCGGAUUUAUUGGGCGUAAAGGGUGCGUAGGUGGUGCUGUAAGUCAGGUGUGAAAUCUCGGGGCUCAACCCCGAAACUGCACUUGAUACUGCAGUGCUUGAGGACUGGAGAGGAGAUUGGAAUUCAUGGUGUAGCAGUGAAAUGCGUAGAUAUCAUGAGGAAGACCAGUGGCGAAGGCGGAUCUCUGGACAGUUCCUGACACUGAGGCACGAAGGCCAGGGGAGCAAACGGG
rnacentral:rRNA from 1 species